GCGCUGCUGAGGAGUCCCACAAUAGGACGAAACAGUCGUCCAGUAC
rnacentral:hammerhead_ribozyme from 1 species